ACUGAGACACGGCCCAGACUCCUACGGGAGGCAGCAGUGGGGAAUUUUUCGCAAUGGGGGAAACCCUGACGCGAGCGACGCCGUGUGCGCGACGAAGGCCUUAGGGUCGUAAAGCGCUGUCAGCGGGGACGAAGGCCUGAGGGUCGAAAGGCCCUGGGGAUGAUGGUACCCGCGGAGGAAGCCCCGGCUAACUACGUGCCAGCAGCCGCGGUAAUACGUAGGGGCGAGCGUUGUCCGGAAUGACUGGGCGUAAAGGGCGUCUAGGCGGCACGGUACGUCGGGAGUGAAAGGCGCGGGCUCAACCCGCGGAGUGCUCUCGAAACGGCCGAGCUAGAGGGCCGGAGAGGGAAGCGGAAUUGCCGGUGUAGCGGUGAAAUGCGUAGAGAUCGGCAGGAACACCAGUGGCGAAGGCGGCUUCCUGGACGGUACCUGACGCUGAAGCGCGAAAGCGUGGGGAGCAAACGGGAUUAGAUACCCCGGUAGUCCACGCCGUAAACGAUGGGUGCUAGGUGU
rnacentral:rRNA from 1 species